GUGCUCACUUCAGCAGCAUAUAUACUAAAAUUGGAACAACACAGAGAAAACUAACACGGUCCCUGCACAAGGAUAACAUGCAAAUUAAUGAAGCAUUCCAUAUUAAA